UAUAGGUGUAGCCUGUUGUUUUGGACGC
rnacentral:sRNA from 1 species